AGCCUGAGGGAAAAAUCUUAGGUUAGACCUGCCCAAUGUAGUUAAUGAAUGGCCGCGGUACUUUGACCGUGCUAAGGUAGCGCAAUCAAUUGGCUUUUAAUUGGAGCCAGGUAUGAAUGGAGUCACGGGGUUUAGCUGUCUCUAGCCUAAUACAUUGAAGUUACUAUUUAGGUGAAAAAGCCUAAUUAAAGAAAAAAGACGAGAAGACCCUUAGAGUUUGGUUUAACCUAAGUUAUUCUUAGAUCAGUUUAGUUGGGGCAACAUGGGAGCAGAUUUUAAUCUCCUAAAAAUAACUAACCGAUAUUUAUAAAUUUGAAUAAACUACCUUAGGGAUAACAGCAUAAUUUUAUAAAAAAGUUUGUGACCUCGAUGUUGGAUUAGGAAACUGGAAGGCUAGCCGCCUUCUAGGAAAGUUCUGUUCGAACUARUGUUCCU
rnacentral:rRNA from 1 species